UACGUAGGGUGCAAGCGUUGUCCGGAAUUAUUGGGCGUAAAGAGCUCGUAGGCGGUCUGUCGCGUCUGCUGUGAAAACUCGGGGCUUAACCCCGGGCCUGCAGUGGGUACGGGCAGACUAGAGUGCGGUAGGGGAGACUGGAAUUCCUGGUGUAGCGGUGAAAUGCGCAGAUAUCUGGAGGAACACCAGUGGCGAAGGCGGCUUCCUGGCCUGUAACUGACGCUGAGACGCGAAAGCGUGGGGAGCGAACCGG
rnacentral:rRNA from 1 species